UACGUAGGGUGCAAGCGUUUGUCCGGAAUUAUUGGGCGUAAAGAGCUCGUAGGCGGUUUGUCGCGUCUGCUGUGAAAACCCGAGGCUCAACCUCGGGCCUGCGGUGGGUACGGGCAGACUAGAGUGUGGUAGGGGGAGACUGGAAUUCCUGGUGUAGCGGUGAAAUGCGCAGAUAUCAGGAGGAACACCGAUGGCGAAGGCAGGUCUCUGGGCCACUACUGACGCUGAGAAGCGAAAGCAUGGGGAGCAAACAGG
rnacentral:rRNA from 1 species